GACGAACCGUGCGAACGUUGUUCGGAAUCACUGGGCUUAAAGGGCGCGUAGGCGGGCAUUCAAGUCAGGGGUGAAAUCCUCCAGCUUAACUGGAGAACUGCCUUUGAUACUGGGUGCCUCGAGUGAGGUAGGGGCGUGCGGAACUGAUGGUGGAGCGGUGAAAUGUGUUGAUAUCAUCAGGAACGCCGGUGGCGAAAGCGGCGCGCUGGACCUUAACUGACGCUGAGGCGCGAAAGCCAGGGGAGCAAACGGG
rnacentral:rRNA from 1 species